rnacentral:rRNA from 1 species
AUGAUCUUCUAUCAAGGCAAGCUCUACGUCCUCCACCAGGACAAAGGCCGACUCCUCUCCGUCUCCGUCGGCGAGGACAGGGACACCGGCGAGCCGACCGUGACCCGGGUCGACAGACUUAUGGAGGUCGGCUACACCAAGUCGCCGCUGCAAUACCUCCUGGAAUCUGACGGCACGCUGCUGCUGAUCCGCAGAGAGGAUCCUAACAUAAAUCCGUUCCCAUUCUUGGGCGACGGUGGAGGGCACUUCCACUUCGUAGGCGCGGGCUUGGAGAAGGCGACCGAGUUCACGGUGUUCGCGGCGGACCUGGCGGGAUCACGGUGGACGGAGGUGAGCGGCGUCGGGGAAGACCGGGUGCUGUUCGUCGGGCAAUGGUGCUCCCGAGCUGUACGCGUCCCGGACCAGUGCAAGGAGUAUGUCGCGGGGGACCGUAUCUUCUUCGUGGACGCUCAUGCCGCCCGCGGCUACGCCGACCCGUGCUACCGGAAGAAGGUUUGGUUUUAUUGCAGCGUCCACGACAUGGGGGAACCGCGGUCUCGAACGUAUCUGAGGACCAAGGUGCGGCCGCUGAAAGGGUUUCCCGUUGCGAGGCUGUUCCCUCGUUCGGAGCCAGGCAUGAACGGCUAG